AGCUCCUCCUUGUAGAGAGAGAGUAGAGACUCCUGGCUGAGGAUGUGCACCUGGCCCUUGAAGAUGGGCACCUGCACUUUUCCUUCCAUUUGCUCCUGGGACUUGGUGAUGCAAUGGUGGACAGAUUUACACUCAGGGUUGAUUUUGUGCACUUCCCGAUCCAUAGUGAAGUCCUCGAUGUCUAAAUCAGCCUGUUGAAGGAUGGUGCCUGCUGGGGUCUUGUAGAUACCUCUGGACUUUAUUCUAAUGAAGCAGUUCUCCAUAAUGUCAAUACAGCCCAUGCCGUGCUUGCCCGUGACUUCGUUCAGGUACACGAAGAGCUCCAAGGAGGUCUGGUGAGGUGGUGCCAUCUUGAUGGUCACUUUCACGGGGACCCCUUUUUUUGAACUUGAUCUUGAGAAUUUCAGGGGUGUUGUGGGCUUUGGCUAGGUCCUGGGUAUAUCGGUAAUGACAUCUUUGCCUUUGUGUUCAUUUUUGAAAAAUAUUUGAUCUGGCUGUAUGAUUUUUAGUCUCACAGUUUUUUUCUAACAGCACUCUAAGAAUGUCAUUCCAUUUCCUUCCAGCUUGCAUAAUUUCUGACAAGACAUGUGUUAUUAUAUUUACUCCUAUAUUAUGUGCCUUUUUUUCUGGGUACUUUUAAGAUUUUUUUCUUUGUUACUUUUUUUUUUUUUUUUUAGCAAUUUGAUUAUAUCAUGUCAUGGUUUUUCUUUAUUCUUCCUGGGCUUUGUUGAACUUCUUGGAUUUGUAGGCUGAUAUUGUUUAUUAAAUUCAGAAAAAUUGGGGGCAUGUUUUCUUUAAAUAUUUUCUUGACCUCUUUCCUCUUAUUUUAGUGCUUGAAUUAUAAAAAUGUUAGAUUGUUGUUGCCCUCACAUGUUACCAAGACUGUUUAUUUUUAAAAUAUUUUCUUCCUUCAUACUUUGUUUAAAAUAAUUUAUGUUGCUAUGUUUCCAGCUUCACUGAUAUUUUCUGUAGUGUCUUAUCUGCAACAUUUUCGUAUCAAAAAUAUUUUUAAAUAUUUAGACACUUAAUUUGGUGAUUCUCAAUAUGUUCUCUUUGUCUUCUCGUUAUGUUCAUAUUUCCUUUAAGUCUUUAAUCUUAUUGAACUUAUUUUAAUAGCUGUUUUAAGGCCUUUUAAUGUUAAUUUUGUUAUCUUUGUUAAUUGGAUCUGUUUUUAUUGACUGAUUUUUCUCCUAGUUGUGGGCAACAUUUUCCUCCCUUUUAUUUGUCUGUCUCUAAUUUUUUUUUUCACUGUUAGGCAUUGAAUAUUAGUAUUUACAUUGUUCAGCUGAAUUUGAACAAUGUACAUACUAAUUUACAUUGGUUUUUCUUUUUGGUUACUAAUGUAGUACUAAUUACAUUUUGGUUUUUCUUUUAAAUGGUCUCUCUCCCCACCACCCUCCACUUUUUUGGUAGGCAUUUAAAUUAUUUGCAGAUCAGCCUGCUCAUUUCAAGGCUAUUUUUGUGCUUUUCAAGGAUGAUCUAGGGUAAUCUUUAGAGCUAGUUUAGACUCACUACUAAGGCAUGAGCUUUCUGGAGUCUCUACAGAAUACUCUGGGUAUUCAACAACAAGGGCUCUUCAUUCUUGGAAUUGUUCACUUUAUAACUCCCCUGAAAUUGAUCUUUUCCUGCUAUUUUUCACUUGGCUGCUUGGAGUUUCACCCUAUGCAGCACAGAUUCCUAUUCAAAGCCUCAUGAGUAUUCUUAUGCCAAUCUCUGCAUAGCGUUCUUUUUAUCUUUAAUAUGUCCCACAAAUUCCAGCCAUCCCAGUGUCUUCAAACUCUAAUCUGUUUCUCAACUUAUUUGGACCAUGAGGCUCUGAGUUCCCCAUUCUUAUACCACAGUUUGGACUUUGCAUCUAGGUUGGAAUAGGGGCAGUCUUAGAUAUCACCUGAUUUGUUUCCCUUUUGUUAAUAAUCACAUGCCUCUUCUGCCAUUGGUCCACUAUCUGAAAUAGCUUUAUAUAUUUUGUCCACUUUUCUAGUUAUGUAUAGGAUUUUGAGGGCAAUCCUGUAGAAGUUCAGCAUAAUUAUUUGUUUCACUUAAAUUUAAUGAAUGUAAUUUUUCUAAAUCUGAAUAUUGAAUCUGGCUACUCUUAGAAGCAAGCUUUAUGUUACUGUAUGUUUUUAUUUUCAGAAAUUUCAAAUCUUUAUAUAGAGACCAUAAGAUUAUUUAACCAAGGUUAUACUGAUGUCUUAAAAAAAACUCUCAGGUUUUUCAGAAGAUACCCUUUAGGUAAUUUAAUUUUACUUGCAUGUAUGUGCAAGUUGGUGAUGUACAUGUACAGCUUCUUUUAAAAAUGGAUUGGGACCUAACAAUGAAAACAUGCAGUUGUAAUGGUUCUUACUGUAGUGCAUGUUGAAUUAUGAGAGUUACUCAUGGUUAUAUGUUAUCCAUGGGGACUUUUAAUAUGCUUGGUUAUACAGAUCUGCAAAUUUUUAGCUGUGGGCUGAUAACCAUAUUGAAUCAUAAAUUUAUUACUGAUGCAUUGCUUUCUAGGUGGACGUUAAAUUUUAAGAGAAUUAAGGAUGUUGUUCCUAAGGGCACUCCCCAAAAUGCAUGCAAAUCCCAGAAUCUUAGAGCCUGUUUUCUAGGGAAUCCACCUAUUAACAGGGAUAUAGAAUUGAUAGGAGUCACUAAUUUAGAGAGAGUGAUUAAGGAAGACCUCUAACUUGAGGUAAUCUUUGAUCAGAGACCUGAAUAAAAUGAGGAAUUAAACCACCUAGAUAAGUUGGGGGAAACUUUUCCAGACAGAAGAGCAAAUGCAAAGAUCUAAGGCAGGACCAUGCUUGACAGUAAAAGACCAUGUGGGGAGUGACCAGAGUCAGUAAGAGGGAGGAAAGGUAGAAUAUAACAAGAGGCCACACCUUGCAUGGCUUUUGAAGUGUUUUCAGUAAUGGAAUUCCAUGAUCACUCUAGAUGCUCUGUAAAAAUUGAGUGUAAGGGACCAAGAACAGAAAUAGGGACCCAGUAAGGAGGCUACUACAAUAGUCCAGGUGAAAAUGGUUGUGACUUGAGUUAGGGUGGUAGCAUUGGAGUGGCUGAGAAGUGGCCAGAUUCUGGAUAUAUUUUAAAGAUGUACUUUUUUGAUGGCUGGGAUAUGGAGUAUGAGAGAAAUAGAGGAAUCAAGGAGGAUUCUGAAGUUUUUGGCCUAAGCAAUUGGAUGAAUGGAAAUUGUGUAUUGAGAUACAAGAGGCAAAGGAGUGGCAGGGGUGGUAGAAAGCAAAUUUUACCUUUUAGACAUGUUAAAUUUGUAUGCCUAUAAGACAUCCAAAUAUAAUGUAGAGAAGUUGUCAUUCAUAUCUGAGUCAGGACUGAAGAUAGAAUUUGGGUAAUUUUCAGGAUAUACAUUAUAUUUAAAGCUAUGCACCUUAGUGAGAUCACCUAGACAGAGAUUGGCAAUUUUUCUUCUGUAAAGGAUCAGAAGCACUAUCUAGUCCUUGUUGCAGCUAUUCAAUUUUUACCUUGUAUUGUGAAAGGAGCUGUAGACAAUAAUUAAGAAAAUGGGUGUGGCUGCGUUCCAAUAAAACUUUAUUUAUAAAAAUUAAUAGGUGCCUCACCAGCAUCUGUUGUUUCCUGACUUUUUAAUAAUCGCCAUUCUAACUGGCAUGAGAUGGCAUCUCAUUGUGGUUUUGAUUUGCAUUUCUCUAAUGACCAGUGAUGAUGAGCUUUUUCUCAUAUGUUUGUUUUCUCUUCUUCAGACACUCUGGAUAUAUGCAAAUUCAGUAAUAUGAAUUUUAUAGUUUAAGUAAAUUUGUUUACUAAUGCUUAUUUAGUGGAGAGUCCAGAUGGAAUUAAUGCCCAAUAGUUUUUUUGAGAAUGUGGCAGAAUAAUAUUACUAUAGAUAGUUGUGUAUUUUUAGUACAAUAGAGAUUAAAUUAUACUAUGCUUUCAAUUAACUUACUUAAAUGGGCGAAAGGCAAAAACUAUCAACAGCAGAAUAAAGAAAGAUUACAUAUGUAAAAGUACCAAAAAGCUGUAUUGUGUUUGCUUCAUUUUCUCACUUUUAGAAAUUUUGUACCUGUACUAUGAUUUUCAUUAAAAUGUAGAUAUUUCUUAUACUAGCACAUUCAUUUACAAGAAAUAAAGAAAUUUUGCUCAAAUGAUUAUAAUACAGUAUAAAGUAAAACUGAGUUCAUGUAGUAAUGUGUGGAGACACGAACAAAAUUGGACUAAAAUUUUUUAUUGAUUGCUUUCUAAUUAUGGUAGAAAUACAUUUUAGGUUUCCAUUUAUGGAGAAAGAAAAAAAUGGCAGAGGGUAGAAGAGUGAUGUGGAAGAAAAAAUAGAAAAUAUAACUUGAUACUUUUGGUUGAAAGAAAAAGAUGAUUGAGGCAAUUGGCCACACCUGCUCUGUCUGACUACUCUUGACUCCUUUGGCUUCUUAGUGUUUUCACCAUCCUAACCACUGCUGGCCAGUCCCGUCACAGCUGCCCUCUGCUUCCUGCUGCGCUAUAUGUUUGGCCACUCUCAUGUUCACAUGAAUGGUACAAGACAUUAACUCAUGAAGUCAAAGGAUACUCAUCAGGUGGCGAACAGCUGCACACAUAAUGCACAGCUCCACAGUGACAUAUAACAGUGUGUUCAAAUACUUCAGAAAGACCCUUGCCACUUCGAUGACACCAAUCAAGGACCUGAUCAAUGGCC
rnacentral:lncRNA from 1 species